rnacentral:rRNA from 1 species
GACGAACGCUGGCGGCGUGCUUAACACAUGCCAGUCGAACGAAGAGCGAUGGAAGCUUGCUUCUAUCAAUCUUAGUGGCGAACGGGUGAGUAACGCGUAAUCAACCUGCCCUUCAGAGGGGGACAACAGUUGGAAACGACUGCUAAUACCGCAUACGAUCUAAUCUCGGCAUCGAGGAUAGAUGAAAGGUGGCCUCUACAUGUAAGCUAUCACUGAAGGAGGGGAUUGCGUCUGAUUAGCUAGUUGGAGGGGUAACGGCCCACCAAGGCGAUGAUCAGUAGCCGGUCUGAGGGGAUGAACGGCCACAUUGGGACUGAGACACGGCCCAGACUCCUACGGGAGGCAGCAGGGGGGAAUCUUCCGCAAUGGACGAAAGUCUGACGGAGCAACGCCGCGUGAGUGAUGACGGCCUUCGGGUUGGAAAGCUCGGUUAAUCGGGACGAAAGGCCUUCUUGCGAAUAGUGAGAAGGAUUGACGGUACCGGAAUAGAAAGCCACGGCUAACUACGUG